CCUGAACCCUUCCGUUCUUGCCCUAGGUCAGAGAGAGAGAGAGACAGAGGUGAUUGAUGGCGGCGACCACUUGCGAUCUACACAUCUGGCUCCCUUCGAUCCUUCUCUUCUCGCGACCUAUGUGCGUGGCCGCCAUGCCUCUUCUCCGGAGGGCGAAGGCAGGAGAACGUGAAGACAGGCCAGUAGGAGAAGUGGGGCGUCCCUCACGACGAGCAGCGGCGGCCGAGAUGACACGUCAGCUCGCCCAGUGGUGAGCCGGUUCCCAGGCGGAACUGUUGCCAAAGAUGGCUGCCACCCUUCCCCCCUACAACCAUGCCAGUACGCUGCCACGCCCUCCCCUGCACCUGCGAGGAGGAACUAUAGCAGGAAGAGAAGGAGGAACACUCAUCUAUCUCGCUGCAGGUCCCCAUCUUUGUUUCAGCCUUUAUCUUGUGUUGAUCUAUCCAUGUGCCACUCCUGAUUGCCUCUAACUGCUGCAAUUCUAUAAAAGAUGAAACUUGGGACAAGAUGAUCAAUUGCUCCCCAUGGUUCAGAUUGUAAGGAAACACAUGGUAAAAGAUUAGCAAGAAUUUCUGUCGGAUUUACAUUGGACACAUGGUACUGUUUAACAUCUGAAAAUUCUUAUCUUAAUUUCCAGGGCAGCACUGGACCAGAAGGAAAAACCAAAACCGAACAUACAUUGCAAGGUCAAUAAUGAAACAAAAAUUGUUGUGGAGAAGAGCGUGACUAAGUCGAGCAAGAAGAGCAGCAACAAGUCCUCGACCAUGAACCAUCAUAUCUACUUUGCCGCAUUGCCACGCAACGUCGCCCGCAAACCUUUACUCAAGACUCUGUGCACCAGCAAGGUAUCAUAUCGCGCUUCUUGUGGUUCCAUCUUAUGACUCCAAAGACCCCUUCCAAGUCACUUGGUGCAGGUUAUUGCGUAUGCAAGAGGGCCAUCUGAAUUUUGUUGAAUGCCAUGUAUGCUGAUGAUACGAAUGGAAAAGCCUUUGAAGGAUAGAAUAAGCAAGUUGUUGGCUGCAUAGACUGCACAACUUUCUGCACAUCAGAAUCCCGGUUUAGAAGAUAUUCCGGUGCACAUUUACAAUUUUUCAUGGUAUUAUACAUGUUCAGAUUGUUGCUGAAUUACAUGGUUGAUUUAUGCACAUGAAGCCAACCUUGGCACAUCAUUGAUGACAGGUGCAGUGUUUGUGAUCUGUACUAAGCACUUGCAUUGUAAUUUAUUUUAGUGAGACCGUGAAGGAUUGUGUAUCACUAGAGGUGAUGUGAGCAGUAUGUUAUGCUAUAGACAUAUGAAGUUUCAUGGAAUUAUUAUUAAUCGUG